GGGGAUUUAGCUCAGUGGCAUAAGCACCUGCCUUGCAAGCAGCUGGUCGUGAGUUCAAUCCCUG
rfam:Cavia porcellus supercont2_23 genomic scaffold, whole genome shotgun sequence.